CCCAGUUGCUUGACAUAGGGUCCCUGGACUGGAACCCUAUGUAGAGGGUGGGCCUGGAUUCCCCUACUAGCCACUGGCAGGUGGUACAGAUUGGGCAAUAGAGCAGAAGACUGUCUGGGACAGUUGUUUGAUAAUACUUUGCUAUGCUGGAAGGAGAGGACUACAGUGAUCUGGCUGGAGGACCAAGCUGUUAAGAGAGUCACAGAGAGAGGCAGCAGGAUGUGUGAAUGGGAGGAAGAAGGAGGUAUCUGUCCUGGAAGGAGUUAAUCCCCAGAGUAGCUAGGAAGAGGCAUCCCUAGUGGUGAGUGAACUCUGUGACAGUCACUUUGUAGUCCUUGACCUGGCUGCUGUGUCCAACAUCAUCAAGUUAAUGUUGUCUGCCUGCCUGUAAAGGGUGGCUUGUCCCUUUAACAGCCUGGGGCUCAGUCAACCCUCCUUACUAAGGAGGCACACCUGAGCAGGGUUCAGCUGACUCCCUUAGAAAGAGCAGCCUGAAGCUGAAGGCAGGGGAAUGUAGAAAAAGGAAGGGGCUGCCAGAGACAAGAGGCCUGGCAGUAGCCUUGGAGAAAAGACUGUGGAGAAAAAAUGAAGGGCAGUUACCUUAUCAUGAUCUCAUUUUGAUUGGCUGUUUCUUGCUAAACAACCAGAACCCUGCCAGAAGAACCUGUGAGACUGAUCAGUGAGUGUAGUUUUGGAGCUUGGAGGAGGGGGAGUCUGAAAGGGAAGGGUUGUGCAGACCCUCCCAGGCCAUGAGAGGGCAUUUGGGAAGAUGUCACUCUACAAUGCUGCCUGUUUGGCCUCAGCCCAGGUACUAUGAUAUGCCAUGCUUCUCCUGGCUAUGCCCCUCUAUGUCCUCUUCUCUCCUUCCUUUACCACAAGAUGGCAGCACCCCUGCCCCUUUCUUUGCUAGGAAGGGAAUAGGAAAGAGACUGGGACUCAAUGUAUGGAGAGACAGUAAUGUGUGCAUGCAUCAUCUGAAGGGGGAUCUUGGCAGCCAAAAUGAGAGAUUGGGGCCAACGUUCUCUCCACUCCCUUAAGUACAGGCUGAGAAGAGUCCAAAGGAAAAAACUCCUUUCCCACAAGAGAAGAUUGACAUGGAUCCAAGUCACACAUCACUUGAGGCAUGAUGAUCACACGCAAUGCAGUGCAGUCCUAAGGGUGUGUUGACCUUAAUGCGUGAUAGUGAACAAAGGUCCCUUCUGGUGAUUCAAAGAGGAAGGAGCGUGUGAGCUAUUGCUCAGCUCAUAGGAGCUGCUAUGAAUAAUUUAUUUGUAAACUAGUGGAAUGAGUGAGCAGCAUCAGAACACAGCAAGAGGCAGUAAGGCGUUUUCAGCAGGAACGACCCUCUAGCAACAAACCAAAGAAUUACAAACAAGAGUGUUCCCCAGCAGGAUAUCAACAGGCCUUGGGACUCAGGUAGGGACUAGAGCUGCUGAAAAAGGGGGCUUGGCCAUUG